rnacentral:tRNA from 1 species
CAGGGCGUAGCUACAACAUAAAGCAUUCAGCUUACACCUGAAAGAUAUCUGCCACACCAGAUCGCCCUGA